rfam:Drosophila pseudoobscura pseudoobscura strain MV2-25 chromosome 4 unlocalized genomic scaffold Ch4_group3, whole genome shotgun sequence.
AAUUACUUGGGCCAGGGGAAUUCAAACUGUGAUCGCAAUGCAAAAAGUUUGUUCGUUUGGCUUAAGUUAUUU